rnacentral:rRNA from 1 species
GUAAGCUACUAAGAGCGAAUGGUGGAUGCCUUGACUGGUAAAGGCGAUGAAGGACGUACUAGACUGCGAUAAGCUACGGGGAGCUGUCAAGAAGCUUUGAUCCGUAGAUUUCCGAAUGGGGCAACCCAAUGUAUAGAGAUAUACAUUACCUAUAUAGGAGCGAACGAGGGGAAUUGAAACAUCUUAGUACCCUCAGGAAAAGAAAUCAAUAGAGAUUGCGUCAGUAGCGGCGAGCGAAAGCGCAAGAGGGCAAACCCAGUGCUUGCACUGGGGGUUGUAGGACUGCAAUGUGCAAGAGCUGAGUUUAGCAGAACAUUCUGGAAAGUAUAGCCAUAGAGGGUGAUAGUCCCGUAUGCGAAAAACAAAGCUUAGCUAGCAGUAUCCUGAGUAGGGCGGGACACGAGGAAUCCUGUCUGAAUCCGGGUCGACCACGAUCCAACCCUAAAUACUAAUACCAGAUCGAUAGUGCACAAGUACCGUGAGGGAAAGGUGAAAAGAACUGAGGUGAUCAGAGUGAAAUAGAACCUGAAACCAUUUGCUUACAAUCAUUCAGAGCCCUAUGUAGCAAUACAGGGUGAUGGACUGCCUUUUGCAUAAUGAGCCUGCGAGUUGUGGUGUCUGGCAAGGUUAAGCAAACGCGAAGCCGUAGCGAAAGCGAGUCUGAAUAGGGCGCUUAGUCAGAUGCUGCAGACCCGAAACGAAGUGAUCUAUCCAUGAGCAAGUUGAAGCUAGUGUAAGAACUAGUGGAGGACUGAACCCAUAGGCGUUGAAAAGCCCCGGGAUGACUUGUGGAUAGGGGUGAAAGGCCAAUCAAACUUCGUGAUAGCUGGUUCUCUCCGAAAUAUAUUUAGGUAUAGCGUUGUGUCGUAAUAUAAGGGGGUAGAGCACUGAAUGGGCUAGGGCAUACACCAAUGUACCAAACCCUAUCAAACUCCGAAUACCUUAUAUGUAAUCACAGCAGUCAGGCGGCGAGUGAUAAAAUCCGUCGUCAAGAGGGAAACAACCCAGACUACCAGCUAAGGUCCCUAAAUCUUACUUAAGUGGAAAACGAUGUGAAGUUACUUAAACAACCAGGAGGUUGGCUUAGAAGCAGCCAUCCUUUAAAGAAAGCGUAAUAGCUCACUGGUCUAGUGAUUUUGCGCGGAAAAUAUAACGGGGCUAAAGUAAGUACCGAAGCUGUAGACUUGCACACAACUUAGAUUAUUUAAGUUUAGAAUAUAAAAAACUAAGUUAUAUGUUUUAAGUUAUAUUUUUACUGAUUUUUAUAGAGUAAAGAUAGAAAUAAAACUUAGUAAAAUCAGUAAAAAUAUUCUUGGUUUAAAGUUUAAGUAGUUUAAGUUGUGUGCAAGUGGUAGGAGAGCGUUCUAUUUGCGUCGAAGGUAUACCGGUAAGGAGUGCUGGAGCGAAUAGAAGUGAGCAUGCAGGCAUGAGUAGCGAUAAUUAAUGUGAGAAUCAUUAACGCCGUAAACCCAAGGUUUCCUACGCGAUGCUCGUCAUCGUAGGGUUAGUCGGGUCCUAAGUCGAGUCCGAAAGGGGUAGACGAUGGCAAAUUGGUUAAUAUUCCAAUACCAACAUUAGUGUGCGAUGGAAGGACGCUUAGGGCUAAGGGGGCUAGCGGAUGGAAGUGCUAGUCUAAGGUCGUAGGAGGUUAUACAGGCAAAUCCGUAUAACAAUACUCCGAGAACUGAAAGGCUUUUUGAAGUCUUCGGAUGGAUAGAAGAACCCCUGAUGCCGUCGAGCCAAGAAAAGUUUCUAAGUUUAGCUAAUGUUGCCCGUACCGUAAACCGACACAGGUGGGUGGGAUGAGUAUUCUAAGGCGCGUGGAAGAACUCUCUUUAAGGAACUCUGCAAAAUAGCACCGUAUCUUCGGUAUAAGGUGUGGUUAGCUUUGUAUUAGGAUUUACUCCGAAAGCAAGGAAACUUACAACAAAGAGUCCCUCCCGACUGUUUACCAAAAACACAGCACUCUGCUAACUCGUAAGAGGAUGUAUAGGGUGUGACGCCUGCCCGGUGCUCGAAGGUUAAUUGAUGGGGUUAGCAUUAGCGAAGCUCUUGAUCGAAGCCCGAGUAAACGGCGGCCGUAACUAUAACGGUCCUAAGGUAGCGAAAUUCCUUGUCGGUUAAAUACCGACCUGCAUGAAUGGCGUAACGAGAUGGGAGCUGUCUCAAAGAGGGAUCCAGUGAAAUUGUAGUGGAGGUGAAAAUUCCUCCUACCCGCGGCAAGACGGAAAGACCCCGUGGACCUUUACUACAGCUUGACACUGCUACUUGGAUAAGAAUGUGCAGGAUAGGUGGGAGGCUUUGAGUAUAUGACGCCAGUUGUAUAUGAGCCAUUGUUGAGAUACCACUCUUUCUUAUUUGGGUAGCUAACCAGCUUGAGUUAUCCUCAAGUGGGACAAUGUCUGGUGGGUAGUUUGACUGGGGCGGUCGCCUCCCAAAUAAUAACGGAGGCUUACAAAGGUUGGCUCAGAACGGUUGGAAAUCGUUCGUAGAGUAUAAAGGUAUAAGCCAGCUUAACUGCAAGACAUACAAGUCAAGCAGAGACGAAAGUCGGUCUUAGUGAUCCGGUGGUUCUGUGUGGAAGGGCCAUCGCUCAAAGGAUAAAAGGUACCCCGGGGAUAACAGGCUGAUCUCCCCCAAGAGCUCACAUCGACGGGGAGGUUUGGCACCUCGAUGUCGGCUCAUCGCAUCCUGGGGCUGGAGCAGGUCCCAAGGGUAUGGCUGUUCGCCAUUUAAAGCGGUACGCGAGCUGGGUUCAGAACGUCGUGAGACAGUUCGGUCCCUAUCUGCCGUGGGCGUAAGAAGAUUGAAGAGAUUUGACCCUAGUACGAGAGGACCGGGUUGAACAAACCACUGGUGUAGCUGUUGUUCUGCCAAGAGCAUCGCAGCGUAGCUAAGUUUGGAAAGGAUAAACGCUGAAAGCAUCUAAGCGUGAAGCCAACUCUAAGAUGAAUCUUCUCUAAGCUCUCUAGAAGACUACUAGUUUGAUAGGCUGGGUGUGUAAUGGAUGAAAGUCCUUUAGCUGACCAGUACUAAUAGAGCGUUUGGCUUAUCUUUAAUAAAGCAU